rnacentral:rRNA from 1 species
GACGAACGCUGGCGGCGUGCUUAACACAUGCCAGUCGAACGGAAAGGCCCUGCUUUUGUGGGGUGCUCGAGUGGCGAACGGGUGAGUAACACGUGAGUAACCUGCCCUUGACUUUGGGAUAACUUCAGGAAACUGGGGCUAAUACCGGAUAGGAGCUCCUGCUGCAUGGGGGGGGUUGGAAAGUUUCGGCGGUUGGGGAUGGACUCGCGGCUUAUCAGCUUGUUGGUGUGGUAGUGGCGUACCAAGGGUUUGACGGAUAGCCGGCCUGAGAGGGUGACCGGCCACAUUGGGACUGAGAUACGGCCCAGACUCGAACGGGAGGCAGCAGUGGGGAAUAUUGCACAAUGGGCGGAAGCCUGGUGCAGCAACGCCGCGUGCGGGAUGACGGCCUUCGGGUUGUAAACCGCUUUCGCCUGUGACGAAGCGUGAGUGACGGUAAUGGGUAAAGAAGCACCGGCUAACUACGUG